AACCAUAGAAACCUGCGGAGUACCUGCGGAAGGAUCAUUACAGAGUUGCAAAACUCCCUAAACCAUUGUGAACGUUACCUAAACCGUUGCUUCGGCGGGCGGCCCGGGUCCUUCCCGGCGCCCAUCGGCCCUCGCGGGCGCCCGCCGGAGGUAAACCAAACUAUUGCAUUGUAUGGCCUCUCUGAGUCUUCUGUACUGAAUAAGUCAAAACUUUUAACAACGGAUCUCAGAUCGGAAGAG
rnacentral:misc_RNA from 1 species